UUCUUACGUCACUUUGCUCUCUUUUUCUCUUAAGGAAAGUGCUAGGAAGCUCCCUUGGGUCUUUCUCUCAAGUCCAGGGGUUCACACACCAAAAUAAAGAUAAGUCUCAUCUUAUCUCUUCUUUGACUCUUUCAAAACAACUACAGCAAUCAAGAACACUCUCCCUUGCAUUCGUACGGGUCCAACACCAAAAAGAAAGAAAACUCUCUCAAGCUCUCUACCUCUCAUACUUUUGGGUCCAGCCACUAGGAAAGGAACAUACUUUCAUGCAAGAGUGAUUUAUUUCUAUUUUCUCUCAAGAACCAUAAAUUUGGUGUUACCAGUAUCCAAGUUUAAGCUCCUUCGACUUUAAGCUCUCAGUUCCUCUGCUUUCAGGUAAGGGAUAAGUCAUAUGGGUAUUUGGUAAGUCAUGAGAUUAUUUUAAAGUAUAUUAUGUAUCAAAAGGUUUUUUAUUAGAGAUAUAGCAUAUAAUCAUUACUCUGACAAAGAUAUGUUCGUGAGCUUUCGAAACCUUAUGUAUAUAAUUUGAGCAUAAUGAUGCCAUUACUAAUUUCCACGAACAUGAUGUUUAAAGAAAAUAAUAGAAAUGCUAUUAUUAUGAAAUGUUAUGCAAAAUAAGAAAUUUCAGUAUGAUGUAAAGUAUGAAAUGUUUUCGGGUUAUGUCCUCUAGUGAUCUAAAUUCUAUCAGUAGGGGUUAAUUAAUGGCUUUCCACGGAAAACGUUAUAUGAUUGGCCAUUAAGUGGGACUGGCUCUGGUGUACCUGUCAUUGUUUGUUACAGCCAACUUGUGGAGAAAGUCAACCUAUCCCCAUGGUUGAAAGAUAUGUAUUAUGAUGUGAUCUCAGGAAUACCUGGCAUUGUGGGGAAUGCUGGAUGCCUAGCACCGUGGUGAUAGAAGCCUCCCAAAUAAGUACAGACUUAUCAGAUAUGGACUAACCAAUAAGUUAUUUAUGAACAGCUAUAUUAUGUUGUUAAUCAUUUGAAUGAUUUUUUUUAAAUGCAUUAUGAAGAGUUAAAAGCUCUCAUGAAAAGAAGUUUAUGAUAAAAAGAAAAGUUGUUUUUUAAAGAUAAGAGUUUCUGAAGUUCUAUUGUGCUAUAAAGAUAAAACUUUUGAUGAAAGUACAAGUUUAUGUUUAAAAGUUAUCAGAUAUCUGUUUUUAUGAAACGUUAAGUUU